rnacentral:rRNA from 1 species
UGAUCUUUGGCAAAUUGCACCCAACUGCAGCAAUUGAUACUCGGCAGCAACUAUUUUAGAAGACAGCUACCAGGUUCGAUUGUCAACCUCUCAAUAACUCUCCAGGAGUUGUACUUAUAUGACAAUAGGAUCUCUGGGGUUAUUCCUGAAGACAUCAGCAAUUUGGUUGGUCUCAAUAGGCUCGUGAUAGUGAAUACUUUCAUAUCCUGAGUGAUUCCAGAUAGCAUUGGUAAGCUAGAGAACAUGAUUGAGCUACACUUGGACAAUAAUAGCUUGUCUGGCCUCAUACCUCCAUCGCUGGGAAAUCUUUCGCAGUUGACUUGACUUUAUGCACCUUAUGGCAACUUAGAGGGACCAAUUCCGGCAACCCUAUCGAAGUUGAAAAAACUUUUUGUACUCGAUUUAUCGAUGAACUACAGACUUAACGGUUCAAUACCAAGAGAGAUUUUGAAGUUGUGUGGACUUUCUUGGUACUUGGAUUUGUCGUACAAUUCCCCUUUUGGAACCAUUCCCAAUGAAGUUGGUAGUCUGGCAAAUCUGAACCAACUGAUUCUAUCAGGAAAUCAGUUGUCUGGCAAGAUACCCGACAAUAUUCAGAAUUGCACAGUGUUGGAAGAGUUAUUUUUAGAUGAUAAUUCCUUUGAGGAGAGCAUACCACGAUCAUUGAAUUUGACAUCAUUGUCCCAAUUGGAUGUGUCCUUCAAUAAUUUGCAAGGCAAGGUACCAAAUGAAGGUGUUUUCAGAAACAUUACUUAUUUAGCAGUUGCUGGGAAUAUCAAUCUGUGCGGUGGCGCACCUGGACUUUAG